UCGUGUUGCUUCUGCUAAACUUAUAAGAGUAGAAAUUGAUCCGACAUACUGUAGUCUACUAUAAUGGAAAUCAAUCCUGGCAAAAAAAUUAUACUGGGUACUUGGUAACAUUAAGUAUACAGCGUCUUCUUUAUUAAUAUUCAGUGUCAACUGCUGAUUGUGUGUGAUUGGUAACUCUAUCCCGUGUGGAGGAUGUAUCUGAGUGUCUGUAUGUGGCAGUCUGUUUCUGGAGUGACAGUGAUGGAGAGAGACCAAAGCAGAUCAUCCUGAGCCAGAUGGGGGUGGGAGCUGUAUGCUGUUUGUUUCUGGAUCAACAGGCUGUUCCUUUCCUGAUAGGCAGAGGGAUAUAUUACCGGCAACUGAUUGCUUUACAACCCAUUGGCACCAGACCGUCUGCCUCAGGCUUCUGAGAAAGGAUGGCAGCCUGUUGCUGUGAUGCUCUGACAAUACACUUACUGGUAUCUAGGUUAUAUUUCAAAAGUGUCACAUAUAUUUCUAGCAGCUGUGGUACACUUUGUCUUCACCAUCAUUGAUGCAUGACUUGGAUCCCUACUGCAUGCACUCGCUGAAGGAAGACAAAUACAGGCCAGUGAGGGAGAGGAGGCCCAGGUAAUCCCUAGAUGACAGACACCCUGUUCUGGUCUUGUCUUCUUCCCCUGCCAGCAUCUGGAAAGGGAGGAGCCAUCUGAUGAGCCCCCAGAGGAAGACACACACACACAGCAGAUCUUUGUCUGUCUGGAGAGGGUGGGACGAGGGGCGUGGGAGGCCAAUACAAAGCCUUUUUUCCUGCAACAACUGUGAUUACAUGACAACACCAGUCAAUCACUAACAUGAGACAUGUCGGAUUGCUACAGAAUAAAUACAAACAGCGCUG